GAUGAACGCUGGCGGUAUGCUUAACACAUGCAAGUCGAACGGACUCUUCGGAGUUAGUGGCGGACGGGUGAGUAACGCGUGAGAAUCUGGCUUUGGGUUCGGGACAACCACUGGAAACGGUGGCUAAUACCGGAUGUGCCGAGAGGUAAAAGAGAAAUUGCCUGAAGAUGAGCUCGCGUCUGAUUAGCUAGUUGGUGAGGUAAAGGCUCACCAAGGCAGCGAUCAGUAGCUGGUCUGAGAGGAUGACCAGCCACACUGGGACUGAGACACGGCCCAGACUACUACGGGAGGCAGCAGGGGGGAAUUUUCCGGAAUGGGCGAAAGCCUGACGGAGCAAUACCGCGUGAGGGAAGAAGGCUCUUGGGUUGUAAACCUCUUUUCUUAGGGAAGAACAAAAUGACGGUACCUAAGGAAUCAGCAUCGGCUAACUCCGUG
rnacentral:rRNA from 1 species